AUGGGAAAGCUCCGGGGCCAGCACUCGCGCCCGCCGGACGCCGCCGCCACCCUCCGCCUCGCCGCGCUCCUCCAGUCGUGCGGCCGCGCCGGGAGCCUCCGCCGCGGCCGCGCCCUCCACGCGCGCCUCGUGCUCUCCGGCGCGGCCGCCGCGUCCACCUUCCUCGCCAACCACCUCAUCACCAUGUACUCCCACUGCGCCGACGCCGGCUCCGCGGUACGCGUGUUCGGCGCCGUGCCCCGCCCCAACCUUGUCUCCUGGACGACGCUCGUCUCGGGCCUCACACAGAACUCCAUGCACCGCGACGCGCUCUCCGCCUUCUCCGCCAUGCGCCGCGCGGGACUCGCGCCCACGCAGUUCGCGCUCUCCAGCGCCGCGCGCGCCGCGGCCGCCCUGGCCGCCCUGUGCCCCGGCGCGCAGCUCCACUGCGUCGGCGUAAGGCUCGGAUUCGACACCGAGCUCUUCGUCGCGAGCAACCUCGCGGACAUGUACUCCAAGUGCGGGCACCUGGGUGAAGCUUGCAGGGUGUUUGACCAAAUGCCGCACAAGGAUGCUGUCACCUGGACUGCCAUGAUCGAUGGUUAUGCGAAGAACGGGAGCCUCUAUACAGCUGUUCUGGCUUUCCGGGAUAUGAAACGCGAGGGACUGGUUGGAGCUGACCAGCAUGUGUUCUGCAGUGCAUUGAGCGCAUCAGGAGGGCUCAAGGAUGGAAGGCUUGGCCGAAGCAUCCAUUGUUGUGUGAUGAAGGCGGGAUUUGAACUGGAAACUGUUGUGAGGAAUACACUAUCCGACAUGUAUGCUAAGUCUGAGGAUGUGGAGAAUGCCUCUCGUGUAGUGAAGAUUGACCCUGGAGGUUGGAAUGUUGUGUCAGGCACCUCGCUGAUCGACGGUUACAUUGAGGCCGAACGUGUUGAGGAGGCUCUUGGAAUGUAUAUUGAGCUGCGAAGGCAAGGUGUUGAGCCCAACGAGUUCACAUUCUCGAGCAUGAUCAAGGGUUGUGCCAUGCAAGCUCUGCUCGAACAAGGUGCUCAGCUGCAUGCUCAAGUGAUCAAGACAAGUUUGAUUGGUGACUCGUUUGUUGGUUCCACCCUUGUGGAUAUGUAUGGAAAAUGCGGCCUGAUAAAUUUGUCCAUUCAGUUAUUUAAUGAGAUUGGACACCACACUGAGAUUGCCUGGAAUGCGGUAAUCAAUGUAUAUGCACAACACGGUCAUGGUAGGGAAGCAAUCCAAGCUUUUGAUAGGAUGAACUCAAGUGGUAUCAGGCCAAAUCACAUUACAUUUGUCAGCCUGCUGACAGCAUGCAGUCAUGCUGGAUUAGUGAAGGAAGGACUAAAAUAUUUUUACUCCAUGAAGGAUGUCCAUGGUAUAGAGCCUAAAGAAGAGCACUAUUCCUGUAUCAUUGAUAUGUAUGGUCGAGCUGGAAGACUAAACGAAGCAGAGCAAUUCAUAAGCGAGAUGCCUGUCAAGCCCAAUGCGUAUGGUUGGUGCUCCUUGCUUGGAGCUUGCCGGAUGCGAGGAAACAAGGAGCUGGGUGAGAUUGCUGCGCAAAAUCUUAUGAAGCUUGAGCCAGAUAACACCGGUAUUCAUGUAUCCCUUUCUGGGAUAUACGCAUCCUUGGGCCAAUGGGAGGAUGUGAAGGCAGUCAGGAAAUUGAUGAGGGAUAGCAGGAUUAAGAAGCUGCCUGGUUUUAGCUGGGUCGAUGCUAACAAGAAAACGCAUGUGUUUGGAUCCGAGGAUUGGUCACACCCACAGCAGGAGCAGAUAUAUGAAAAACUCGAGCAACUUUCUGAGAGGAUAAAGGAGGAAGGUUAUGUCCCAGAUACAAGCUCCUUGUCACUUAACCUAGAAGAUAGUGCAAAGGAGAGGCUUCUGCGCUAUCACAGCGAGAGGAUUGCUGUAGCUUUUGCUUUGAUAAGCAUGCCAGCUACAAAACCGAUAAUUGUUAAGAAGAAUUUGAGGAUCUGUGUAGACUGCCACUCUGCAUUGAAGUUCAUUUCUAAGGUAGAAAGCAGGGAUAUCAUUGUUAGAGAUAAUUCCAGGUUCCACCAUUUUGUGAAAGGGAGGUGUUCCUGUGGAGAUUACUGGUGAAGUGGUGAUUAACUGACUCUCCUUUUUUGUUUGGGGCAUUUGCAAAUACUUCCCUGAUUUUUUAUUUUUUGCAAGGAUACCACUCGAAUGACCACCUGAUUUUGUGAAAGGGAGGUGUUCCUGUGGAGAUUACUGGUGAAGUGAGUCAUCAUCUGAUCAUCAGGAUCAUAAAUAGGCAACAUUGCUAUGAUUUAUAACUUCAGAGAAGUGAUUCUAGGGGCUUGGUUAUGGAAGCAUCAUAAUGAUUGUGUCUUCAAUGGUUCGACAGAGUGUCCAAAAAAUCUUUUGCCAAGCUGGAGACGAAGCCUGGCUUUGGUGUGACGCGGGGGCUAAAGUGUUGUUGCAACUCACCGUGAGUUGAUCUUGGUGCAGUUGUCAUCAUGAUCAUUUGUUUCAGUUCGUGGCAAGUUUUGUAACCUUACUUAAGCGGGUUUGUUUGUUUGGGUGUACUUGAACCUUUUUUUCUCCUUUAAUGCAAUGAUACGUAACUCUGCUACGUGACAGAAACAUGGUCUUCAAAUGCAAUACUACUGCACCUUGGACUUUGUCCAUAUCACUAAAAUUUCUAUAUAACUUAGUUAAAUAGAAAAAGGAACUAUUGGGAACUUCCAAGUCAUAUAAGACCUAUCUGAUGUGUAAAGUAGCUUGAUUAUUUUCUAACCGGGAUUUGAUCAACACGUGGUUACCUCUUCUUUCCACGUUAUGUGUCAAGUGUCAUCCAUGUAGAUCUAAAUUUAUGACCAUGUGCCACCAACUCUAGGAAGCCAGCUUGUGUGUCAUUUGAUCACUUUUCAUGCAGACAAUACCGUAUUAGCCUAUUAGGCAUUUGCAGGAGGUUUUUAACCUAUGAGAACUAAAGGCUACCAGUUAUUUAGUUCCUAUAUGCACUAGUUUAAUAUACAGUUCCUAUGCAACCUUGUGGCAGCAACAAUUAACUACAAUGUGGAAAGCACGUUCUGUUGAUUAUCUCCUAAGUCCUGACUCCUUACAUGAUACUACUAAUACUCCCGAUUUCCUUCCCCUAUUGUCAACAUUUAUGGCUCUUCAGUUUUAAUUAGCUUAUGCCUCGGAUUGCAACUGUCUAUCAUUUUUAAUGCUCAAUACCCUUUAGUCUUCUGAAACAAAAAACAUUACCACCCCUCACACAUCAGUGUUACCUAAAAGAGUCAAUUCCCUGUAUGUCAUUGGAACCUAUACUUUUCCCUUAUGAGCCAUCCAAAAUCUAAGUUUCCCUUCUCUGCCACUGGAUUAAAUUUGCCAUCCCUUCUAUACCACUUCUGUCAGUUGGCUGUUUUCCUGCUGUGAAGUCAUGGCUGAAAAGACGUUUAUGCCCCUCUUGAUGGGAAGAACCAAAUUUUGGAUAGUUCCCUUUCGUGCCAUUGCUCUCGGGGAAAUGCAUACAUGAAUAUGGAUGAAUAAGUACUCUAGGACAUAUAUGUGUGAGAUAAAAUAAUAACAAAUUGAACUUUGAAUCACCACACACAUACAUGAAUAUGGAUGAAUACACACAUACAUGUUGAUGUCAUUGGUUCAAACAGACCAAGCAAAAGCAAAAUGACAAGGUUUAGGGUAGCAUCAUUUGUACAUGGAAUUCUCAACUUCUUUAUAGGGUCCAAGCAAAAUGACCACAUGUUCCCACCAUUGGUUCACACAGACCAAGCAAAAUAACAACAGGUGCACUUCAUACAUAUUACAGACUGUACAAAAUAACUUAAAUGAAAUGCCUAGCUAGACAUUCAGUCUAGAAGUCUUCUUUUGCUUAUAGUACCCAUUGUAGGGCUUUGAGGUGUCACCGAAACAUGCUUCUUCUUUGCCUUUGCCUUCCCUUUAGCCUUUUUCUUCUCUAUAAGAUUGGAGGAGGCAGAUGGUGUCGUAGUUUCACAUGAA